CUGAGACGUGAUGGGACCCCGUUUUUGGGGGAUUUGGUGAUCCUAUGCUGCCGAGAAAAGCAUCGGCGUGAGGUUUUAGCCGCCCGUACCCUAAACCGACACAGGUGAUCAGGUAGAGAAUACUAAGGCGAUCGAGAGAAUCAUGGUUAAGGAACUCGGCAAAAUGCCCCCGUAACUUCGGGAGAAGGGGGACCUUGAGCGUGAUGGGCACUUGCUGCCUGGAGCGUGUAUGGGUCGCAGAGACCAGGGGGAAGCGACUGUUUAUCAAAAACACAGGUCCGUGCGAAGUCGUAAGACGAUGUAUACGGACUGACUCCUGCCCGGUGCUGGAAGGUUAAGAGGAUUGGUUAGCCCUUUUUGGGCGAAGCUGAGAAUUUAAGCCCCAGUAAACGGCGGUGGUAACUAUAACCAUCCUAAGGUAGCGAAAUUCCUUGUCGGGUAAGUUCCGACCUGCACGAAUGGAGUAACGACUUCCCUACUGUCUCAACCAUGAACUCGGCGAAAUUGCAGUACGAGUAAAGAUGCUCGUUUCGCGCAGCAGGACGGAAAGACCCCGUGACCUUUACUAUAGUUUGGUAUUGGUGUUUGGUUUGGCUUGUGUAGGAUAGGUGGGAGACUGUGAAGCAUGGACGCUAGUUUGUGUGGAGUCGUUGUUGAAAUACCACUCUGGUCAAUCUGGAUGUCUAACUUCGGGCCAUGAUCUGGUUCAGGGACAGUGCCUGAUGGGUAGUUUAACUGGGGCGGUUGCCUCCUAAAGUGUAACGGAGGCGCCCAAAGGUUCCCUCAGCCUGGUUGGCAAUCAGGUGUUGAGUGUAAGUGCACAAGGGAGCUUGACUGUGAGACUGGCAGGUCGAGCAGGGACGAAAGUCGGGACUAGUGAUCCGGCGGUACGUUGUGGAACGGCCGUCGCUCAACGGAUAAAAGGUACCUCGGGGAUAACAGGCUGAUCUUGCCCAAGAGUCCAUAUCGACGGCAUGGUUUGGCA
rnacentral:rRNA from 1 species